rnacentral:lncRNA from 1 species
UUUUUCCAUGAUAUAUAAAUAAUAUUUCUCAAAUGGCCGAGUGUUGUUGAGGAGGGGAUUUGGUAUCGGACUAAAAUAAAUUCCAAGUUGGAUUAAUAUCUAAAAAAAGAAAAAUUACACAUAAAAAAUAUUUUUUACAUAAAAAAAAUGGAAAAAAAUUUUAUCCAUCAAAAUGAAAUGGGGUGAAAAUUUAUCCAUUUGCACAAAUGAUUUUCCUUCAAAAUGAAAUGGGCUGAAAAUUGAUUUUCCUUCCCAUCAAAUUGAUGCAAAUUGACAUCACCCAUUCAAGUCGGUGCCUUCCCCUUCCCAUCACAUUCUACAAUUCAUUUUCCUUUGCGAAAUGUUAUGUGCAAUGUUGCGUCAACAUCUCGUUUCUCGAUAAUUUGAGCUAGGCCGUCGAAGAGUCUUGGCAAGUCUUCAGAUUCCUCGUUAGGCUCAUGGUUCACUUCUUCAUUAAAUGUACUCGGCUCCCCCACUUAAAUUUUUAUUUUUCACUCAAUCGAAAUAUCCACAAUUAUUACUACACGUGAAGAACAAGCGCCCUUUGUUUUCAGUGUUCAGUUCUACCUCAAAACAUUUUCGAAAUCUGUAUUCACAUGAAUGGCAUCCAUGUUUUGUUUGGCAUUGUCCAAAGUAACGAGUGGUACUUCUACAGCCAUGACAAAACUCCGAAAUUCCUUCCUCUCAUUCUAGUCAACAACUGUUCAAGAAACAAAUAAACCCACAUGAAUCCAACUGAAUUAUGAAAUCCUACAUUGGAACUUAUGAACAGCAAUACAUUGCAAACAAAGAACUGACCUAAUUGUAUUUCACUAACAUUCUUUCACUACCAUCUUGCAAAUACAAAUUCAAUAAAAUAAGGAUAAUUUUCUCCACCAUCAUUCAACUUCGAAAUUGGCCACAAAUUCAACAAGCUUUUUACAAUAUAAACAGAGAACGAAAAUGACGGUAUCAAAUUCAGCAAACUUUCCCCAAUAAAUUGCUGAAACGAAAUUAAGAAAAAAGAAGAUUUUUCAAAAUUUCAUGUGUGAGCUACACUAUUUACGAGCAACAAGCAAAAUGCCAUUUUCAAUAACAUGCUAAUAAUUUGAAGAACAAUAGAUAAUAGAGCAAGCCUUGCUAUUAUUUAAUUAGGAAUCGAAAAGUUAUUUUGCCACAAAAUUUCUGAAAAUUCAUACAAAAUCACAAAUUUACGAAGAACAAGAGAUCAAAGACUUCAACUUCAUCAAUGGUAAGGCUCCAUAAUCUUCAUACUUCAAAUAUAUGUCAAAAUAAAGAGGAAAAAAAACAAACAAUGAUGUAAACAAGUCUAAGACAGCUUAACGAUAAAUUAGCAUAAAAUAGUAAAUAACAAAAUAACUUUGCCUAGCUCAGACACGUAGAUAUCGGCGCUGCCUUCAAAUUUUGUUUCCACCUUGGGUUUCAGUGGCCUGCCUCACACUACGUUAGAAAAGAUGGCACCAGUCAGUGGAAUCGUGCUUGUUUUUCCUUUGUUGGCCCAUAAAUUCGACGAUGAAGCGUGGUGGUUUGCUUUUGCUUUUUGGUUUGGGGGGAAAAAGGAAAUGAUUUGGGAGAAGUUCUACGGGUCUAUUUUAAGGGUGAAGACGACCGGUUUCUUUUGGAACCGGGUUUUGGUUGAAAAUGAAAAGGAAAUAAAAAAAAAAAACAUAUAAUAUGUGCCAGGUCAGCCAAUUCAAAUUUCU